rnacentral:rRNA from 1 species
CCUACGGGAGGCAGCAGUGAGGAAUAUUGGUCAAUGGGCGCGAGCCUGAACCAGCCAAGUCGCGUGAGGGAAGACGGUCCUAUGGAUUGUAAACCUCUUUUGUCGGGGAGCAAAAGACGCCACGCGUGGCGUUCCGAGAGUACCCGAAGAAAAAGCAUCGGCUAACUCCGUGCCAGCAGCCGCGGUAAUACGGAGGAUGCGAGCGUUAUCCGGAUUUAUUGGGUUUAAAGGGUGCGCAGGCGGAAGAUCAAGUCAGCGGUAAAAUUGAGCGGCACAACCUCUGCGAGCCGGGGAAACGGGUGUUGGUGAGUGAGGGAGAGGUAUGCGGGAUGGGUGGUGGAGCGGUGAAAUG